CAGGUACAGAUUACCAUGUAUGUCGAGCGGUAAGGCCCUUCGGGGUACACGAGCGGCGAACGGGUGAGUAACACGUGAGCAACCUGCCCCUGACUCCGGGAUAAGCGGUGGAAACGCCGUCUAAUACCGGAUACGACCCGCCACCUCAUGGUGGAGGGUGGAAAGUUUUAUCGGUCAGGGAUGGGCUCGCGGCCUAUCAGCUUGUUGGUGGGGUAACGGCCUACCAAGGCGAUUACGGGUAGCCGGCCUGAGAGGGCGACCGGCCACACUGGGACUGAGACACGGCCCAGACUCCUGCGGGAGGCAGCAGUGGGGAAUAUUGCACAAUGGGCGAAAGCCUGAUGCAGCGACGCCGCGUGGGGGAUGACGGCCUUCGGGUUGUAAACCUCUUUUACCACCAACGCAGGCUCCACGUUCUCGUGGGGUUGACGGUAGGUGGGGAAUAAGGACCGGCUAACUACGUGCCAGCAGCCGCGGUAAUACGUAGGGUCCGAGCGUUGUCCGGAAUUAUUGGGCGUAAAGAGCUCGUAGGCGGCAUGUCGCGUCUGCUGUGAAAGACCGGGGCUUAACUCCGGUUCUGCAGUGGAUACGGGCAUGCUAGAGGUAGGUAGGGGAAACUGGAAUUCCUGGUGUAGCGGUGAAAUGCGCAGAUAUCAGGAGGAACACCGGUGGCGAAGGCGGGUUUCUGGGCCUUACUUGACGCUGAGGAGCGAAAGCAUGGGGAGCGAACAGGAUUAGAUACCCUGGAAGUCCAUGCCGUAAAC
rnacentral:rRNA from 1 species